GCUGGAGCGGGCCAGCCCGCGUGCAUCGAGUGCCGCGUCCUUCCAGGGCUGGGCAGAGUUUGAGUUGAAGUGAGGAAAAUUAAGUGACACUGGCCUGGCUUCCCAGAUACUAAGAAUUCUUGGCCAGGCCCGAGUUAGAGCACAAGUUUGAGGUCUCCUCUGAGGUCUCACGUCGCGUAUCCUGGACUUCGGUGUGAAAUCCCUCUGAGGAGGAUGCUCCUCUCAUCUUCACCAUCUCUGCCUGAGUUAACAUUCCCACCCCUACUGCCACUCCCAAGUCUUCAUCCUACCUCUUGAGCAGAGGCUUCUCCUUCAGUCUUCUUAAAGAUACAGGCAUAGCUCAGAAGUAUUGCGGGUUCAGUUCCAGACCACUGCAGUAAAGGGAGUCACAUUUUUUCGGUUUUCCAGAAGCUGUGAAGAAAACCUUCAGAAAAACAAAGACAUUAACCAAGAAAGAGGACAGCAUGACAACUAGGAGUAGAAGGAACAGAAGAGUCAACAUGAAAAGAAGUGAAGGGAAAAUUCGGUGUGAGACACAUGCACAAAGCCCAGGAAGAGCCAGUCUGUAUUGGAGUGGGGAAAAAGGGUGCAGGAGACAGUCUCUAGAGGAGAAAAAAAGUGCAGUAGAUGGAUUAUUUGAUAUGAAUGAGCUUUUGAAAAAUGACUGAUAGACAUUUGUUGGAUCUGCUUGAGCACUAGAGGAUAAAAAAGGACUAAAAAUUUAAGUGAACACAAAACCAUGUAAUGGUACUUUGUUUUGGUACAAAAAAACCCCAUUAUUUGAAAUGAAAAGAAAAAAUAGCAUUUACAAUGAUAACAGCUAACAUUUAUGUGCAAAAAAUUGUAAAUAAA